rnacentral:rRNA from 1 species
GACGAACGCUGGCGGCGUGCUUAACACAUGCAAGUCGAACGGAAAGGCCCUGCUUUUGUGGGGCGCUCGAGUGGCGAACGGGUGAGUAACACGUGAGUAACCUGCCCUUGACUUUGGGAUAACUUCAGGAAACUGGGGCUAAUACCGGAUAGGAGCUCCUGCUGCAUGGUGGGGGUUGGAAAGUUUCGGCGGUUGGGGAUGGACUCGCGGCUUAUCAGCUUGUUGGUGGGGUAGUGGCUUACCAAGGCUUUGACGGGUAGCCGGCCUGAGAGGGUGACCAGGCACACUGGAACUGAGACACGGGCCAGACUGCUACGGGAGGCAGCGGUGGGGAAUGUUGGACAAUGGGCGGAAGCCUGGUCCAGCCAUGCCGCGUGUGUGAAGAAGGUCUUCGGAUUGUAAAGCACUUUAAGUUGGGAGGAAGGGCAGUAAGUUAAUACCUUGCUGUUUUGACGUUACCAACAGAAUAAGCACCGGCUAACUUCGUG